UCCUCGAUGGUCUAACGGUCAUGAUUUCCGCUUGUCACUCCGAUGAGAACGAGCGCGGGAGACCAGGGUUCGACUCCCUGUCGGGGAG
rnacentral:tRNA from 3 species